rnacentral:rRNA from 1 species
CUUCCGUAGGGAACCUGCGGAAGGAUCAUUA